rnacentral:rRNA from 1 species
UACGUAGGGGGCUAGCGUUGUCCGGAUUUAUUGGGCGUAAAGAGCGUGUAGGCGGCCAGGUAGGUCUGCUGUGAAAACUCGAGGCUCAACCUCGAGACGUCGGCGGAAACCAUCUGGCUAGAGUCCGGAAGAGGAGAGUGGAAUUCUCGGUGUAGCGGUGAAAUGCGUAGAUAUCGAGAGGAACACCUGCGGCGAAGGCGGGCUGCUGGGCUGACACUGACGCUGAAGCGCGAAAGCUAGGGGAGCGAACGGG